rnacentral:rRNA from 1 species
UAGGGAAUCUUCGGCAAUGGGGGCAACCCUGACCGAGCAACGCCGCGUGAGUGAAGAAGGUUUUCGGAUCGUAAAGCUCGGUUGUAAGAGAAGAACGUGUGUGAGAGUGGAAAGUUCACACAGUGACGGUAACUUACCAGAAAGGGACGGCUAACUACGUGCCAGCAGCCGCGGUAAUACGUAGGUCCCGAGCGCUGUCCGGAUUUAUUGGGCGUAAAGCGAGCGCAGGCGGUUUAAUAAGUCUGAAGUUAAAGGCAGUGGCUUAACCAUUGUUCGCUUUGGAAACUGUUAAACUUGAGUGCAGAAGGGGAGAGUGGAAUUCCAUGUGUAGCGGUGAAAUGCGUAGAUAUAUGGAGGAACACCGGUGGCGAAAGCGGCUCUCUGGUCUGUAACUGACGCUGAGGCUCGAAAGCGUGGGGAGCAAACAGG